rnacentral:sRNA from 1 species
CCCCCAGUCACUCCUUCUCUGAAUAUAUAAAUACCAUGAUGACCCAGUCUUCAAGCAGUUUAUUCAUACCACUAUUCCUCAAUAUAUUUUCAUGUUUAUCAAUUUUGAUUCCUUUUUCUUAUUUCCAAGACCAUUUCUAUCUUUACUGAAAGCUUUUUCAUUCAAAGACAAAGAUCAUACAGCUUACCCAUGAUAAUUGCGGUGUAGAUAGCACUGCUCCAUUGAUUUAAGCUGUUAUGUUAGACAUACUAAUGCCAUAAGCAGGACGAUUGCAAGGUUUCUCACCUCCUUGCUUCUAGCCAUAUGAUAAAUACAGGCUGUCAUACUUCAGUGACCUUUUUGUCAAGAGCUCAAUGGUGGAUUGAACGCGUCCACCCGAACGAGCCCAAUUCUUCGAAUUAGAGAAUGAAAAUACCCUCGAUUGAUUCCUACUGCCUCCAUCGAUAACUGCUUCAAAUUUGAACAGAUUUGACCAAGAUUUGAAAGAGAUAUUUGAGAAAAGGUGAUUGGGUGCCUGCUGCAGGAGAAUCCCUACCUUUCAUCAAAUAACUUGAUCAAUUCUGAGCCAAAUCAGCUCAAAUUUUGAUAAAAGAUAGAUCUCAGUUAUCUUUGCAAUCUAUCAAAAUCUUGUAUAAUUUGAUCUUCAAUUGCUUGCAUUAUUCUUGUUUUUGCUGUUGAGAAAAUCCUGAUCAUUUUUCAUGUUCCAACGCACCCGCGCCAAGUCCCCCCUGAGUAUCUCCCAGCCACACGUACCUGCCAAGCAACAAAAAGAUACCUCGGCAAGAUUGACUAGCACAUACCUCAUCAACUCAA